UACGUAGGGUGCAAGCGUUAAUCGGAAUUACUGGGCGUAAAGCGUGCGCAGGCGGUUAUGCAAGACAGAUGUGAAAUCCCCGGGCUCAACCUGGGAACUGCAUUUGUGACUGCAUGGCUAGAGUACGGUAGAGGGGGGAUGGAAUUCCGCGUGUAGCAGUGAAAUGCGUAGAUAUGCGGAGGAACACCGAUGGCGAAGGCAAUCCCCUGGACCUGUACUGACGCUCAUGCACGAAAGCGUGGGGAGCAAACAGG
rnacentral:rRNA from 1 species